AACGAACGCUGGCGGCAGGCCUAACACAUGCAAGUCGAGCGCUCUCUUCGGAGGGAGCGGCGGACGGGUUAGUAACGCGUGGGAACGUGCCCUUCUCUAAGGAAUAGCCACUGGAAACGGUGAGUAAUACCUUAUACGCCCUUCGGGGGAAAGAUUUAUCGGAGAAGGAUCGGCCCGCGUUAGAUUAGAUAGUUGGUGGGGUAACGGCCUACCAAGUCUACGAUCUAUAGCUGGUUUUAGAGGAUGAUCAGCAACACUGGGACUGAGACACGGCCCAG
rnacentral:rRNA from 1 species